rnacentral:misc_RNA from 1 species
GAUGAAGAACGUAGCGAAAUGCGAUAAGUAGUGUGAAUUGCAGAAUUCAGUGAAUCAUCGAAUCUUUGAACGCACAUUGCGCCCCAUGGUAUUCCGUGGGGCAUGCCUGUUCGAGCGUCAUUUACCCCCUCAAGCUCCGCUUGGUGUUGGGCGUCUGUCCCGCUUCGCGCGCGGACUCGCCCCAAAGGUAUUGGCAGCGGUCGUGCCAGCUUCUCGCGCAGCACAUUGCGCUUCUCGAGGCACCGGUGGGCCCGCGUCCAUCAAGCUCACCCCCCCAGUUUGACCUCGGAUCAGGUAGGGAUACCCGCUGAACUUAAGCAUAUCAAUAAGCGGGAGGA